rnacentral:rRNA from 2 species
GAAACGACUGCUAAGACUGGAUAGGAGAUAAGAAGGCAUCUUUUUAUUUUUAAAAGACCUAGCAAUAGGUAUGCUUAGGGAAGAGCUUGCGUCACAUUAGUUAGUUGGUGGGGUAUGGCCUACCAAGACGAUGAUGUGUAGCCGGGCUGAGAGGUCGAACGGCCACAUCGGGACUGAGACACGGCCCAAACUCCUACGGGAGGCAGCAGUAAGGAAUUUUCGGCAAUGGAGGAAACUCUGACCGAGCAAUGCCGCGUGAACGAUGAAGUAUUUUGGUACGUAAAGUUCUUUUAUUAGGGAAGAAAAGAUGGUGGAAAAACCAUUAUGACGGUACCUAAUGAAUAAGCCCCGGCUAACUAUGUGCCAGCAGCCGCGGUAAUACAUAGGGGGCAAGCGUUAUCCGGAAUUAUUGGGCGUAAAGGGUGCGUAGGCGGUUAAAUAAGUUUAUGGUCUAAGUGCAACGCUCAACGUUGUGAUGCUAUAAAAACUGUUUAGCUAGAGUUGGAUAGAGGCAAGUGGAAUUCCGUGUGUAGUGGUAAAAUGCGUAAAUAUACGGAGGAACACCAGAAGCGAAGGCGGCUUGCUGGGUCUUAACUGACGCUGAGGCACGAAAGCGUGGGGAGCAAACAGGAUUAGAUACCCUGGUAGUCCACGCCCUAAACGAUGGGUACUAAACGUUGGAUAAAACCAGUGUUGAAGUUAACACAUUAAGUACUCCGCCUGAGUAGUACGUACGCAAGUAUGAAACUUAAAGGAAUUGGCGGGACUCCGCACAAGCGGUGGAUCAUGUUGUUUAAUUCGAAGGUACCCGAAAAACCUCACCAGGUCUUGACAUGCUUUUGCAAAGCUGUAGAAAUACAGUGGAGGUUAUCAGAAGCACAGGUGGUGCAUGGUUGUCGUCGGCUCGUGUCGUGAGAUGUUGGGUUAAGUCCCGCAACGAGCGCAACCCUUGUUGUUAAUUGCCAUCAUUAAGUUGGGGACUUUAGCAAGACUGCCAAUGAUAAAUUGGAGGAAGGUGGGGACGACGUCAAAUCAUCAUGCCCCUUAUGACCUGGGCUACAAACGUGAUACAAUGGCUGUUACAAAGGGUAGCUAAAGCGUAAGCUUCUGGCGAAUCUCAAAAAAGCAGUCUCAGUUCGGAUUGAAGUCUGCAACUCGACUUCAUGAAGUUGGAAUCGCUAGUAAUCGCGAAUCAGCAUGUUGCGGUGAAUACGUUCUCGGGGUUUGUACACACCGCCCGUCA